GAUGAACGCUGGCGGCGUGCCUAAUACAUGCAAGUCGAGCGAACAGACGAGGAGCUUGCUCCUCUGACGUUAGCGGCGGACGGGUGAGUAACACGUGGAUAACCUACCUAUAAGACUGGGAUAACUUCGGGAAACCGGAGCUAAUACCGGAUAAUAUAUUGAACCGCAUGGUUCAAUAGUGAAAGACGGUUUUGCUGUCACUUAUAGAUGGAUCCGCGCCGCAUUAGCUAGUUGGUAAGGUAACAGCUUACCAAGGCAACGAUGCGUAGCCGACCUGAGAGGGUGAUCGGCCACACUGGAACUGAGACACGGUCCAGACUCCUACGGGAGGCAGCAGUAGGGAAUCUUCCGCAAUGGGCGAAAGCCUGACGGGGCAACGCCGCGUGAGUGAUGAAGGUCUUCGGAUCGUAAAACUCUGUUAUUAGGGAAGAACAAAUGUGUAAGUAACUAUGCACGUCUUGACGGUACCUAAUCAGAAAGCCACGGCUAACUACGUG
rnacentral:rRNA from 1 species